rnacentral:rRNA from 1 species
AUACGUAGGUGGCAAGCGUUGUCCGGAAUCAUUGGGCGUAAAGCGCCCGCAGGCGGUCCUUUAAGUCUGAUGUGAAAUCUUGCGGCUCAACCGUAAGCGGUCAUUGGAAACUGGGGGACUUGAGUGCAGGAGAGGAAAGCGGAAUUCCAUGUGUAGCGGUGAAAUGCGUAGAGAUAUGGAGGAACACCAGUGGCGAAGGCGGCUUUCUGGCCUGUAACUGACGCUGAGGCGCGAAAGCGUGGGGAGCAAACAGGAUUAGAUACCCUGGUAGUCCACGCCGUAAACGAUGAGUGCUAAGUGUUGGAGGGUUUCCGCCCUUCAGUGCUGCAGCUAACGCAUUAAGCACUCCGCCUGGGGAGUACGGUCGCAAGACUGAA